rnacentral:tRNA from 1 species
GCCCAGAUGACGGAAUUGGCAUACGUAUCGGUCUUAGAAGCCGAGUUUUGUGGGUUCGACUCCCACUUUGGGCACCA